AGUCGAACGGAGUUUAAUAACGGAAGCCUUCGGGCGGAAGAUAUUAAACUUAGUGGCGGACGGGUGAGUAACGCGUGAGCAACCUGCCUCUCAGAGGGGGAUAACGUUUGGAAACGAACGCUAAUACCGCAUAACAUAUCUUUACCGCAUGAUAGAGAUAUCAAAGGAGCAAUCCGCUGAGAGAUGGGCUCGCGUCCGAUUAGAUAGUUGGUGAGGUAACGGCUCACCAAGUCGACGAUCGGUAGCCGGACUGAGAGGUUGAACGGCCACAUUGGGACUGAGACACGGCCCAGACUCCUACGGGAGGCAGCAGUGGGGGAUAUUGCACAGUGGGCAAAGGCCUGAUGCAGCAACGCCGCGUGAGGGGACACGGACCUUCGGGUUGUAAACCGUCUUUACGUAGGGAAGAAGCGAAAGUGACGGUACCUGCAGAAAAGCACCGGCUAACACGUGCCAGCAGCCGCGGUAAUACGUAGGUCGCAAGCGUAUCGGAGUCGUGGAGGU
rnacentral:rRNA from 1 species